UACGAAGGGGGCGAGCGUUGUUCGGAAUUACUGGGCGUAAAGCGCACGUAGGCGGCCUUUUAAGUCAGGGGUGAAAUCCUGGAGCUCAACUCCAGAACUGCCCUUGAUACUGAGAGGCUUGAGUCCGGGAGAGGUGAGUGGAACUGCGAGUGUAGAGGUGAAAUUCGUAGAUAUUCGCAAGAACACCAGUGGCGAAGGCGGCUCACUGGCCCGGUACUGACGCUGAGGUGCGAAAGCGUGGGGAGCAAACAGG
rnacentral:rRNA from 1 species